UACGUAGGGCGCAAGCGUUUGUCCGGAAUUAUUGGGCGUAAAGAGCUCGUAGGCGGCUUGUCGCGUCGGUUGUGAAAGCCCGGGGCUCAACCCCGGGUCUGCAGUCGAUACGGGCAGGCUAGAGUGUGGUAGGGGGAGAUCGGAAUUCCUGGUGUAGCGGUGGAAUGCGCAGAUAUCAGGAGGAACACCGAUGGCGAAGGCAGAUCUCUGGGCCGUAACUGACGCUGAGGAGCGAAAGCUAGGGGAGCAAACAGG
rnacentral:rRNA from 1 species